rnacentral:lncRNA from 1 species
CCUUGUGUCUUUUACUUUAUGUCAUUUAUAUUAUGUACAUUAACUGCUAUAACUGCUAUGUAUGUUUUAACUGCUUACCACUGAACUAACUCUACGAAUAAUGUAUGUAUGAUUAUGAUUAUAUCAAUGAAGGGGAUCUUUUACUUAUUCCGCUGUGCUUGAAAAGAUUCUUAUGUUUGUCAUAUGCUAAAUUAUUAGCAAUACAAA